UUAAAGCACUCGCCAGGUUCCACCUCCGCCAAUUAUUGACAGGGAGCGUGCCGGAAGCUUACGACGUUGGUUGGUGAAAUAAAUUACCAGCAAUAAUUCCUCCCCUGCCCACCAAUAACGAGAUAAGAAAGCAGCGGUCCCUACUUGCCAAAAAAGAUUCGCUGUCCGGGUCCACCUCCGUGCGUGACGACGUGGUUAACUUGAUCAUCGACAGGCCCAUCUCAGCCGUCCGUCUAUCUCUUCGCCAUGUUUCGACCGUGCGUGACGGCGGGAUUAACUUCACCGUCGAACUCCUUGACACCGCUGACGAGGAAAGAGAGGGACAGCAAUGAGAACGCCGAUUCAUUCCACCAACGGCCACUUCCCAAAUCCCCAUCCCGAUAGAAAGAGAGAGAAGAAACCGACGCAAACAUCUGCUUCUCCCUCCCGGCCACUGACGGGCUCGGAGUCGCACUCAUCGCCUUCUCAAUCGGCGCCGGCCCCUAUACCUGCUGCCAUAUAUCUAGGUCCUCUUACUGCCAUUCUCAAUUCGAGUAAAAUUCCCUUUGAUUGUCAACUCACUGAUAUCGAUGAGCAGUGAAAUACUUGAAGAGGGGCUCUUCCAGCGACUGGAGCGCCACCAAGAGUCGACAUCAUCAACGUCUCCAUUAGAAGCCGGAGAGUAAUGAUCCAAGCAAACCGAGCCGCUAAAGAGACAGAGAGCUUAAGUCGCGAAGGGGAGCAGCAAAGUGUUGAGCGAGACGAAGAGGAGGUGAGGCAUGAUAAACAAAGAACAAUGGCCAGAGAGCUCAAGUGGAGAAGGGGAGGAGCGAAGUGCUGAGCGAGACGAAGAGGAGGUGAGGCCGAAGAACAAUGGAAUUUUAGUCCCACAUCACUAAAUAUAAUUCUCCGACUGCAACUGAGAACCUUAAAAGAAGGAAGGAUACUAUCAUACAAUUCAUACCUUUCUCGGCCUUUUGGCUAAGAUCAAGUGUAGUAUAUGUUCUUAUCAGUUUAAUAUCUGAUAUGUGGAUCAUUGGUUCACUAUGAUA